rnacentral:rRNA from 1 species
CACGCCGUAAACGAUGUUCACUAGGUGUUGGGGGUAUUGACCCCCUCAGUGCCGAAGCUAACGCAUUAAGUGAACCGCCUGGGGAGUACGGCCGCAAGGCUAAAACUCAAAGGAAUUGACGGGGGCCCGCACAAGCGGUGGAGCAUGUGGUUUAAUUCGAUGCAACGCGAAGAACCUUACCUGGGUUUGACAUCCCGGGAAUCCCCUGGAAACAGGGGAGUGCCCUUCGGGGAGCCCGGAGACAGGUGC